CAUCAUGCCACGAAAUGUUACGAUCGGACCUUUGGAAUUGUAAACCACACCGCCCAGCAACGCGCCAGUGGUGAAACCUUCAAGAAUGAAAAAAUACGUGUCUGUCUUGAGCAGGUAUUUUUCGACAGCAUUUUUUAGUGUAUAGCUUGGUUUGUGUUUAAAGCCACCAACAAGGUCGGACAAAAAUAAAUUCGACAUGGUUAAGUAUCCAAAA